rnacentral:lncRNA from 12 species
GUUCAGUUUAAGACUCCUUUCUAUAAGGAGAGCUUUUGCCACAGCUUUGUCCAUGUAAAUUUUACUUCCCUCCCAGGUAACCAGCUGAAUUGAUUCUGUUCAUGAAGUUGUUAAGGGUCAAAGGUUCUUGCAUCUUACUAUUUCACCAUCUCUGGGGGGUUGCCCUUUCCUACAUGGUGGACUACAAUGUCUGCGUGUUCCAACCAACAGGAAAAGGAGAUGAAGACAAUGUCUUUCACUUGACCUACCGAGGAAGGCCCUGGGAUGUUGGAGUCCCACACGUGGAUGGCUGCUUCAGAUGCGGGGCGAUGAUCAUCCGGGACGUUCAGGUGACUAAUUCCCCAGGCAGGAUGGGCUUCUGGCUUUGCUGGGCUUGCAUUUUGGAAUAAGCCCUGGCACAGAACUGAACCUCCUGCAUUACAGAGGGGAGGAUCUGGAGUUGGUGGGUGGGAUGGGGACCCCAAGGGGAAGGCCCCAGAAGCCAGUGACAAUAAGCCUACGAUUGGGCAGACGGAGGCAUCAACUCCAGACGCAGUGCAAGUAGAAAGGGAUUUUGGAAGUGAAUGUACCACUUCCUAGAGUUCAUAAAAUUCCAUUCUCUUUGUGUUAAUUGUGCCUCAGAAUAUGUAUUUAACCUCUUAUUAGAGAUGUUGUGAGUCAAUUAGUUCUGGCCUUUCUCCCAGGAAGGCAGCUGUGCGGCUUUCACGAGUUGUUUCAACACAGUGAAGGGAAGCCAGAAAGCCCGCUUCCGAGGCAAGAAUGGAAGGAGGUGAGGGGAGGCUGCCACCGACGGAUCGAGAAAGCACAUCCGAAGGCUUGCUCCGCGUACUGUUUCGGGUAACAAAUCUCAAUCUGUUCUGGUCCCCACUUCAAAGCCCACGUGAGCAAGUGAGGGGGGUGAGGAGGUGACAGUGGUGAAGCUGAGUCCCAAGAGUUCAUUCACACUGUGGGAAGGUGGUCUGGGAAUCCUCGCAGACACUCCCUGAAGGGAUGAGGUGUUGCGCUGAAGAGAAGACCAAGGAUGGCUGGGGGUCACCAGAAGUGAAACAAGAGCAAUAGGAGAGAUGACGGGGGAGAGUGACGGCCACUGUGGGUAACCUGAGAAGCCGGCCUGGCCAGGGGAGCCUUCCCAGAGAGCACAACACCUGAGCUAAGACCGAAGGUAGAUGUCCGUGAAGCCCACAGUGUGGACAGGUGUGUCUGUUUCCUGGGCUGAGGUAACAGAGGACCACGGCCUGGGUGGUUACGGCAACAGAAAUUUAUUGUCUCACAGUUCCAGAGGCCACUGUGCCUCUGUGUCUCUGUGUAUUGUCUCACGGUUCCAGAGGCCAGAAGGCUGAAAUCAAGGUGCUGGCAGGGCCACAUCCCCUCUGGAGGUUCUAGGGGAGACUCGCUUCCUGGCUUCUUCCACCUUCUGGCGAUGCCUGGCUGCCUUGGCUUGGGUCACGGCAUUCCAAGCUCUGCUUCCACUUUCACGUGGUCUUCUCCUCUUUUAUUGCUUUUAAUGAUGUUCUCCUUGGAUUUAGGCCCUACCAGAUAGCACAGCAUAAUCUCCUCUCAAGGUAUUUAAAUCAAUUAUAUUGGCAAAGACCCUCUUUUUUUUUUUUUUUUUUUUUAAGAUUUUGUUUAUUUAUUCAUGAGAGACACAGGGAGAGGGAGAAGCAGGCUCCAGGCAGGGAGCCCGACGUGGGACUCGAUCCUGGGACUCCAGGGUCAUGCCCUGGGCUGAAGCCAGGCACUUAACCGCUGAGCCACCCAGGUGUCCCAAGACCCUCGUUUUAAAUAAGGUAACGUUCACCAAUUCCUGGGGUUAGAAUGCGAGCAUAUCUUUGGAGGGGGCUCACCAUUCAACCCAUUCAGAGGGUUUCUGGGAGAGAACAAACUUCUUAACAGAAGGCCUUUGAUGGUGUCUCGGCCGUCUUUGACACAUUCUUCCUCUGCCCCGAAGUGGGAUUAACUGCUUUCAUUCCCACAGAUGACAGGUCUGCUAGGCCUCCAUGCCUGUGUAUAUGCGGCUCCCCUUUCAGUUUUCAUCAAGUUGGCUGCUGGAAGGAAAUCAGUGGGAUUGAGUGGUUGUUGGAAAUGGGUUUUGGGGUAAGACAAACAAGCUCUCUGGUUCCACAUGUUUGUAUUUCAUCAAUAAAAGCUUCUUUUGGACAAUCCA